rnacentral:rRNA from 1 species
AUUGAACGCUGGCGGCAGGCCUAACACAUGCAAGUCGAGCGGAUGAAGGGAGCUUGCUCCUGGAUUCAGCGGCGGACGGGUGAGUAAUGCCUAGGAAUCUGCCUGGUAGUGGGGGAUAACGUCCGGAAACGGGCGCUAAUACCGCAUACGUCCUGAGGGAGAAAGUGGGGGAUCUUCGGACCUCACGCCAUCAGAUGAGCCUAGGUCGGAUUAGCUAGUUGGUGGGGUAAAGGCCUACCAAGGCGACGAUCCGUAACUGGUCUGAGAGGAUGAUCAGUCACAGUGGAAAUGAGACACGGCCCGGACUCCUCGGGGGGCCGCCAGGGGGAAAUUUUGGAGAAUGGGCAAAGGCCGGCACCACCCAUGCGGGGGGUGAAAAGAAGGUCUUUGAUUUUUAAGCCUUUUUAAGUGGGGAGGAAGGGUAGUAAUUAAAUCUCUUGGUUUUUUGGCGUUACCAACAAGAAAGACACGGGCAAAGUUGGUG